GGGGAUAUGGCGAAAUUGGUAGACGCUACGGACUUAAUUGGAUUGAGCCUUGGUAUGGAAACCCACUGAGUGAUAACUUUCAAAUUCAGAGAAACCCUGGAAUUAAUAAAAGGGGGCAAUCCUGAGCCAAAUCCUAUUUUCCGAAAACAAAGGUUUAGAAAGUGAAAAAGGGGAUAGGUGCAGAGACUCAACGGAAGCUGUUCUAACAAAUGGAGUUGGCUGCGGUAGUAGAGAAAUCUUUCCAUCCAAAAUUCAGAUAGUAUUAAGGAUGAAGUGAAGGAUAAACGUAUAUACAUAACGUAUUGAAUACUAUUUUAAAUGAUUAAAUAAGUAAUGACCGCCCGAAUGAAUCUAUAUUUUUUCUAUGAAAAACGAAAGAAUUGGUGUGAAUAGAUUCUACGUUGAAGAAAGAAUCGAAUAUUCAUUGAUCAACUGAUUCACUCCAUAGUCUGAUAGAUCUUUUCAAGAACUGAUUAAUCUUAAUCGGACGAGAAUAAAGAUAGAGUCCCAUUCUACAUGUCAAUGCCGGCAACAAUGAAAUUUAUAGUUAAGAGGAAAAUCCGUCGACUUUUAAAAUCAUGAGGGUUCAAGUCCCUCUAUCCCCAA
rnacentral:ncRNA from 1 species